ACUAGGCAGGGGUUUGGUAGUCUGGCAGCGUUGUUACUCAUUCCCCAAAGCGCAUUUGACGCAGCUUGAGUUCCUGAAGAGGAACAUCUCUAGGUUACGUAUGUAACCCUAGUUCCUCGAGGGAACGAGACGCUGCGUCUCGGAGCCAUACCCCCGGCACCCCUGCUGGCGCUUGCUGGUACUCGAAGCUGAAGCCAGCUGCGCGGCUCGUGCCUUUAUAGCUUCCUGGCUGCUUACGUCAACCCGGCCAUGAUGUCACACUCUUCUAUAAGACAGAUUGGAUAUGAUAUUCAGAGUCGCUCACGCUAAACGCAUUCACCAAAGGACAUUUGACACAGCGUCUCGUUCCCUUGAGGAACUAGGGUUACAUACGUAACCUAGAGACGUUUUUUUUGUGAUUAUUUAUGGCUUACUUAUUUGUGUUUCUAUUUGGUAAUUUUUGCUUUUUAAAUCUUAUGUUUUUGUUUUUCUCUCUUUUCAGUUCUUUUCAAAUCUGCCUGGGAUAAAAAUCUAAAUUAUGCCAUAUUAGAGAGCAUUGUGAUAACCGCUCUCUUUGUUAUAAUGCUUCUGUUGAACAUUGUCUAUGUUAUUUUUGCCUUGACUACAUUCAUUGGGAAAUCAAGCGAACGUAUCGAUACCAUAUUCAGAUUUUUGGCUAGUUCAGGCUUUGACCUUCAACCUUCACUACUAAUCAUCCUCCUGAUUUAUGGCUUUGGAUUGACCAGAGCAGGAUUCUUAACUGUUGCAAUUUUACCAGUAUGUCUCUUAGUGUCAGAUUGCAAUUACGAUGUUUUAUGUGGAGAGCGCAUUGGUUGUAAGUAUUUCCCUUUUUGUCUCACAGCCUAA
rnacentral:lncRNA from 1 species